CAGUAGCCGCGGUAAUACGUAGGGUGCAAGCGUUAAUCGGAAUUACUGGGCGUAAAGCGUACGCAGGCGGUUAUAUAAGUCAGAUGUGAAAUCCCCGGGCCCAACCUGGGAACUGCAUUUGAGACUGUAUGGCUAGAGUGUGUCAGAGGGGGGUAGAAUUCCACGUGUAGCAGUGAAAUGCGUAGAAAUGUGGAGGAAUACCGAUGGCGAAGGCAGCCCCCCGGGAUAACACUGACGCUCAUGCACGAAAGCGUGGGGAGCAAACAGGAUUAGAGACCCCAGUAGUCCCUGUCUCUUAUAC
rnacentral:rRNA from 1 species